rnacentral:rRNA from 1 species
CAGCCGCCGCGGGAAUACGUAGGUGGCAAGCGUUGUCCGGAAUUAUUGGGCGUAAAGGGCUCGCAGGCGGUUUCUUAAGUCUGAUGUGAAAGCCCCCGGCUCAACUGGGGAGGGUCAUUGGAAACUGGGAAACUUGAGUGCAGAAGAGGAGAGUGGAAUUCCACGUGUAGCGGUGAAAUGCGUGGAGAUGUGGAGGAACACCAGUGGCGAAGGCGACUCUCUGGUCUGUAACUGACGCUGAGGAGCGAAAGCGUGGGGAGCGAACAGGAUUAGAUACCCCAGUAGUCCCUGUCUCUUAUAC